CCUCCCGAGUAGCUGGGAUUACAGGUGUGUGCCACCACGCCUGGAUAAUUUUUGUAUUUUUAGUAGGGACAGGGUUUCACCACAUUGGUCAGGCUGGUCUCGAACUCCCCACCUCAGGUGAUCCGCCCGCCUCGGCCUCCCAAAGUGCUGGGAUUACAGGUGUGAGCCACCACGUGCCCAGCCUAGUUUAUUUUUCUUUUCUUUUUUUUUUUUGAGAUGGAGUCUUGCUCUGUGCCCUAGCUGGAGUGUGGCAGUGUGAUCUUGGCUCACUGCAACCUCCGCCUCCGAGGUUCAAGCAGUUCUCUGCCUCAGCAUCCUCAGUAGCUGGGAUUACAGGCACCCGCCACUAUGCCCAGCUACUUUUUUUGCAUUUUUAGUAGAGACAGGAUUUCACCAUCUUGGCCAAGCUUGUCUUGAACUCCUGACCUUGUGAUCCACCUGCCUCGGCCUCCCAAAAUGCUGGGAUUACAGGCGUGAGCCACCGCGCCUGGCCUAGUUUAUUUUUCUAUGUAUGCCUAUAGACAGAUGCCCAGGCUGUGUCCCCACCCCCACCAUGGUGUGGUUCUAGGCAUGCCCUGGGAGGACCAGAAUCUAAGACGUCUGAGCUGAUGUCACUGGUGGGGAAAUGCUUAGAAAGAAAGAGCAAUCCUGAGUUUGCUUCAAGGUACAGAUUUGCUCCCACAUUUCUCUUCCAUUUUCCUUUGGUUUCUGUUCCCUCUGCAUUUAUGUGCAUGCUCAGCAGUGGACAUAUAAGAUAAAGAAGAUCCUGUCUGUCCUGAGAGUCUCACAGUCUGGCAGAACUUCCUACCCCACUAGUGGGAAGCCUCUUAGAGGGUCCCUGGAUUCCUGCUCUUCUCUAUUGUGCUCCUAAAUUUUGAGGUUAAAGAUCAUUUUAAGAAUCUUAUGGAUUCUCUACCCUUGCUCCAAAGGCAGACAUAUUCAAUAUUUUGCAUAAAACUCCGAGGGGUUUAUAGACCCGGUAAAGCCCAUCCACAAAAUCCACAAGCUCCACUAAAAAAAAAGUCAACAAGGAUGAGAAGGGGGAAGAAACUUAGAAUGGAAUACAAAUAGAAACAAAUGCAUCCUUUUGUAGCCCGUGAACAUGAUGAUUUGGGUUUUCACACACAUGUGAGAUGUGCCUCCUUCAAACCUUAAGACAUCAGCAUGUUACCUGACGUGAAAAAAAAGGAAUGAACUUAACUCAUUUUAAAUAACUCUAUUUUAAACAAAUAAUAUUGCGAUGCUGAAGGGAGGAUAAAAACCAAAUAAACAAGCCCAACAAAUAUUUAAUUCUAGUUAGAAGGAGUUUUUUCUGUAGUGAUAUGGGUGAGCAAUUCUGAAAUACCUUUUGUGUGCUGUAGAGUUGCACAAAUGAGUAAAUGUACUGAGGAUAUUGGAAGCUAGUUCUUGCUGUUGGAGAGGAGAGUUAUAAAUAUGGAGAAAGGGAGGACUAAAAUGAAUUUUGUGGUGUUGAGUUGGAACUGGAGGUAUCUAUAUGAAUCCAUGAUUUUGUGUGUGUGUGUGUGUGUCUGUGUGUACAGAUGUAGAAAUUAAGAUAAAAUAUGUAUAUUUCUUAGCUCUGUGGGCUAAAGGGCCUAGAAGUAGACACUACAGUAGCAUUGAGUAUACCUGGCACUUGGAUCUUGGUUUCUAAAUACCAUUUCGUACUAAAAAAAAAAAAAAAAAAAAAAAACUAGGGCUCCUUGGAGAAAUGACUAAUUCUAGGACUGAGAGGGGGAAAGUACAAGAUAAGCUUAGAAUAUCGUGUUGUGCCAGAAAGCAAGGAAGUGCUUUUUAAAAAAUGGAGAUAUAGAAAAAGAACACAGGAAUCAGAAGGGACCCCCAUUGGCCAAAUCUGGGAGUAUUCGAACAUCAGCAUAAAUAAUGGUAAUUAUUUAUUAUCAUCACAGUGGUAUUACAGCACAAUAUUACAGUGGUAAUAUCACUAUAGAAUAGCCAUAGAAUAAAAUAAUCUAUGAGCUCAUACGAAUAUAAAUAAAUAAAAGAGAAGGGAUAGCUCUCUCUUAUAGCAGAAAUGAUAACAUCAGAAUAUCAUCUUUGUGCAACCAUGAUUUAGACAGGAAUUAUCAAUGGAUGCUAAAACUAGUGGAUAGAAGUUUGAUAAAGAAGAGGAUAUGUACAUAGAUUCAGAGCACCCCCAUGAAAAUAACUUAUUGAUUACAAAGGGAAAAUUAGUAACUCCAUGGUGAGUUCCUCUGAUGAACACAACCAUAACCAUUUAAUCACAGUUAACAAUACCAAUAAAGGGAUGCACUGACCUCACUGCCUUGAAAAGGACUCCAUAUCAUUUCUAUGGUACACCUGCCAAAACUAUAACCUUAAUCUAAUUAUGAGGUAGCAUCAAACAAACCAAACUGAAGGGCAUUCUACAUAACAACUGGCCUGUAAUCUAAAAACAAACAAAAAAGCAAGUUCAUGAAAGAUAAGGGAAGGCUGAGAACCUGAUCUAGAUGAAAGAAGAUUAAAGAGAUAUGAACAGUAAAUGCAAUGUGUGAUCCUGAAUUGGAUGCUGGAUCAGAAAAAAACCAGCUAUGAAGGACAUUAUUGGAGCAAUUGGUGAAAUUUAAAUAUAAACUAUAGCUCAGAUAAGCAUUUUGUAUCAAUGUUACAAAUUCCCUGAUUUCCAUAAAUGUGUUGGGGUUAUGUAAGAGAAAAUUCUUUUUUUUUUUUUUUUUUUUUUUUUUUUUUUUUUUUUUUUUUGAGACGGAGUCUCGCUCUGUCACCAACGCUGGAUGGAGUGCAGUGGCGCGAUCUCAGCUCACUGCAAGCUCCACCUCCCGGGUUCACGCCAUUCUCCUACCUCAGUCUCGCGAGUAGCUGGGACUACAGGCGCCCGCCACCACGCCCGGCUGAUUGUUUUGUAUUUUUAGUAGAGAUAGGUUUCACCGCGUUAACCAGAAUGGUCUCGAUCUCCUGACCUCGUGAUCCGGCCGCCUCGGCCUCCCAAAGUGCUGGGAUUACAGGCGUGAGCCACCACGCCUGGCCGAGAAAAUUCUUGUUCUUAGGAAAUACUGACAUAUUUAUGGAUAAAGGGGGCAUAAAUAGUUCAGAAAAAAUAUGUGUAUGCACAUAUAUGGAUUGAUAGAAAGACAAUAGAUCAAAUGGGGCAAAAUUAUAGCAAUUAGUGAAUCUGGUAAAGAAUAUACUGUUUUUGCAACUUUUCUGUAAAAGUGUGAAAUUAUAUAAAAAUUAAAAAGUAGAUAAAAAGAGUAUUUGCUCUAAGCUGGAGCCCUUUUUUUUUGGAGACAGAGUCUCGCUCUGUCAUGCAGUGGUGGCAUGGUGUGCAGUGGUGCGACCUUGGCUUAAUGCAACCUCCUGGGGUCAAGAGAUUCUCAUGCCUCAGCAUCCUGAGUAGCUGGGACUACAGGCAUGUGCCACCAUGCCCGGCUAAUUUUCAUAUUUUAGUAGAGAAGGGGUUUCACUAUGUUGGCCAGGCUGGUCUCAAACUUCUGACCUCAGGUGAUCCGCCCACCUCAGCCUCACAAAGCGCUGGGAUUACAGGCACAAUCCUACCAUGCCCAGCUAAGC
rnacentral:lncRNA from 10 species